rnacentral:lncRNA from 1 species
AGACAGAGUCUGACUCUGUUACCCAGGCUGGAGCUGGAGUGCGGUGGUGCAAUCUUGGCUCAAUGCAACCUCCACCUCAUGGUUUCAAGCAAUUCUUAUGCCUCAGCCUCCCAAGUAGCUGAGAUUAUAGGCAUGCACCACCAUGCCCAGCUAAUUUUUGUAUUUUUAGUAGAGACAAGGGUUCACCAUGUUGACCAGGGUGGUCUUGAACUCCCGACAUCAAGUAAUCCACCCACCUUGGCCUUCCAAAGUGCUGGGAUUACUUUUCUAUUUUUGAGACAGGUUCUUGCUCUGUCACCCAGGCUGGAGUGCAGUGUUAUGAUCUUGACUUACUGCAACCUCGAAUUCCUGGGCUCAAAGUGAUUCUCCAUCUCAGCCUCCUGAGUAGCUGGGAGUACAGGGGCAUGCCACCAUGCCUGGCUAAUUUUUUAUUAUUAUUAUUUUUUGUAGAGGUGGGGUAUUGCUUUGUUGCCCAGGCUGGUCUCAAACUCCUGGGCUCAAGCGAUCCUCCUGCCUCAGCUUCCCAAAGUGUUGGGAUUAUAGGUGUGAGCCACCAUGGCUGGUUGAGUAGUUUUAUUUUUUACAAAAUAUACUAUGCACACAAGCAGGAUGCUAGCAUGAGAAAUAAGUUACAUUGCUGUUUCUUCAUCUGAUUUUUAUUUCUCCAUGAUUGAAAGAAGUCCUCAAAACAUCACACUGUAUCCCCCAAAUAUAUACAAUUAUUAUUAGUAUUAUUAUUUGAGAUGGAGUCUCACUCUGUUGCCCAGGCUGGAGUGCAGUUGCACGAUCUCAGCUCACUGCAACCUCCGCCUCCUGGGUUCAAGCAAUUCUCCUGCCUCAGCCUCCCAAGUAGCUGAGAUUACAGGUGCGUGCCACCACACCCAGCUAAUUUUUGUAUUUUUAGUAGAGACAGGGUCUUACCAUGUUGGCCAAGCUGGUCUUGAACUCCUGACCUCUAAUGAUCCACCUGCCUCCGCCUCCC